rnacentral:rRNA from 1 species
CACGUAGGGUGCGAGCGUUGUCCGGAAUUAUUGGGCGUAAAGAGCUCGUAGGCGGUGUGUCGCGUCGGCCGUGAAAACCUGCAGCUUAACUGUGGGCUUGCGGUCGAUACGGGCAUCACUGGAGUUCGGCAGGGGAGACUGGAAUUCCUGGUGUAGCGGUGAAAUGCGCAGAUAUCAGGAGGAACACCGGUGGCGAAGGCGGGGUCUCUGGGCCGAUACUGACGCUGAGGAGCGAAAGCGUGGGGAGCAAACAGG